GGAAGUUACAAAAAUUGGUAGCCUCUCAGUAAUCAGAGGUUAACUAUAUAUAAACCGUGGAGGACACAAAGCUGACAGCGGUGUGUGGGUGCCCGCUGAUGACAAGGACGUCCACUGCCAAAUAUUCUUUGCCUAACAUAGACGCGCGACCCGUGCCACCAUAACUCAGCUUAACUCGAACAGCACAGCGGCAUGGCAAGGCUUUGAAUCAUACCUCACAACUCUGGCCGUGUGUUAUGUAGGGGGAGAAGCUGCCGGAGUGACCCUACGAGGGGGCAAGGAAGUUUGUCUCUUUCCCUCCACUGCAGAUGACCUCAGAUGUCUAUAGGUCUAAGGCCCCAAAAAUCAACGGAGCAACACGUAGAACCAUUGUGUGCGGCGACGCAGCUGCCGGAAGAACAUGGAAGGUUUACAACGGGCUUCCCUGCGUAUCCACUCCAUAGAACCAUUGUGUGCGGCGACGGAGCUGCCGGAAGAACAUAGAAGCAUUGUGUGCGGCGACGCAGCUGCCGGAAGAACAUGGAAGGUUUACAACGGGCAUCCCUGUGUAUCCACGGCGGCAAGACAGGAAGUGUCGGAAUGAGAGUUAACCCUUAGCACUUCGUAAUGCUACCUCAUCCAAACAGGACGGAAUGGAGAAGUGGAAAGGAGUGAGGCAUCAGGUCUCUCACGUCCCCUCUACAGUGUGAAAGUAAUACCACUACGGAAGGGAGAACCAGACCAGCGUGUCCUGCCAGCUAUCUGCAUCGCUGCUGGGAGGGAAGAACAUAAAAUCAAGUAACCUAAGAAAAUGGAGUUGAGGCUCAAGAGGCCACUUUUACCAUGUGGCCGCCCUUGUCCUCUGCCUUGCUUCAGACCUGCAUCACACCUCUAGUCGUCGUUCGAAAACCUGCUGCCAUCUAGGGGAGAGGGAAGGAAGGAAGCCUCGCCGGUCACGCAUACAUGUCUUGUACUACCUCUGUGAAUGUGCUGACUUUGUAAAUACAUUAUGAAAUGAUUUAAUAAAUUACGAAACUGU
rnacentral:lncRNA from 1 species